rnacentral:rRNA from 1 species
AUGUCGCCCCUGAGCCCCGGCGCCCCCUUUGCUCCGUUGCACGCCGAUGGCAUCCUCGUCGCUCAAGCCUUUUUCCUCACCCUGCUGCUUUCAGUUGUUGUUGGUUCGUUUGGCCAUCAUGGACAUGUUGCUGCGGACUCCCAGUACAACUACACCAUGGUGAUACGUGAACGACUACUCGGCUAUGACAAGUUGUACGACUACACCCAACGAUGCGACAACUACCUCUACCGUCGACCCUCGAAGGCACCAUGGACGUCAAGUUCCUCGCCAUGUACCACUACCGUCGACGUGUACGUCUACUAUGUGAACGUGUACCCGACGACCCCGGAGACCUAUGUUGCGCCAAGUACCCCCUCGUUGACCCGUACAUCUACAGGAAAACGUGUACCACUACCGUCGAAGAACGAUAGUACCACUACUUCUACUACCGUCGCGGAACGACUUCUUACUCUACUUCCCUCGUCGAACCAGAACCAUUCCGAGAACGCACGCUUUGAAGGUAUAACCCCGAGACGACCGCCCGUGAAAGAAGGCAUGUGUGAUGUAUGA